AACUUACAUCAUUAUUGUUUGUUAUUAGGAUCGGAGCUAUUUUCUUCAUUGUGAUGAAUCAGAUAUUUGGUAACUUGUCAGCCAUUGACCUCUUUAUAAGGCAGAAGCACAUAUUCAUUCAUGAGAAUGCCAGUGGGUUCUACAGGAUUUCCUCGUACUUCAUUGCUAAGGUUCUCUGUGACAUUAUACCAAUGAGGAUAUUACCACUCUGUAUAUUUGCAUCAGUGACAUACUUCAUGAUGGAGAGAGGGAGGGAG